UGGGACAAGCCCUGGAAACGGGGUCUAAUACCGGAUACUGACCCUCGCAGGCAUCUGCGAGGUUCGAAAGCUCCGGCGGUGCAGGAUGAGCCCGCGGCCUAUCAGCUAGUUGGUGAGGUAAUGGCUCACCAAGGCGACGACGGGUAGCCGGCCUGAGAGGGCGACCGGCCACACUGGGACUGAGACACGGCCCACACUCCUACGGGAGGCAGCAGUGGGGAAUAUUGCACAAUGGGCGAAAGCCUGAUGCAGCGACGCCGCGUGAGGGAUGACGGCCUUCGGGUUGUAAACCUCUUUCAGCAGGGAAGAAGCGAAAGUGACGGUACCUGCAAAAGAAGCGCCGGCUAACUACGUGCCAGCAGCCGCGGUAAUACGUAGGGCGCAAGCGUUGUCCGGAAUUAUUGGGCGUAAAGAGCUCGUAGGCGGCUUGUCACGUCGGUUGUGAAAGCCCGGGGCUUAACCCCGGGUCUGCAGUCUAUACGGGCAGGCUAGAGUUCGGUAG
rnacentral:rRNA from 1 species